AAUGUAGAAGGACUUUACAAAAUGUUAUAGUACAUAAAGAUACGUUACAAAUCAAGAACGAUGGUAGAUUUAUUAUUAUAACUGAUCCCAAGCACUGAAAUGCAAAGUCUAGAAGAACAAAAUCGUCUGCAAACUCAUCUUGGAUGUCAUACGAAAAUAUUUUGAGUUCAACAUAUUUUGUUUCUAAAACCGCAUAUUUUCCUUUUGUGGUUAACUGUUUCUUCCAUUGCACUUUAUCUUUGUAGCUUCAUUUCUUGUUCAUGGAUAUCAGCUGUUUUGUGUAUUCCAAAAGCAUUUUUUUGUUGAUGAAACAUCCAAAUCUGCAGCCCUUGGUUCUACAUAAGAUUUCUUAGAUGUUCAUGCUCUUAAGAUCUUCACUUGAAUUAUGGAAUUCUCAGUUGUGUUUUGACAUUUGUUGCUAAGGAAGUGGUUUGGAGUUAUUGCUGCCAUAAGGUAUAUUUCUACUAAAAAUUAUGAUCAAUUUCUAAUUCACUGGUUGUGGAAAGAUCAAGGAGUGGACUGUAAAUUAUUUUGCUUCUUUAUUUGAUCUUUAUAUGAAUCUUGUAGUUUGGUUUAUGCAUGUGAGGUCUAAAAUUGUGAUAUUUAAUUCUUUGGCUCAGGAUUUCUUCCACAAAUUUUGCUUAUAGGUCACUGUAGUGAACUGCAUUUACCAGUUCCUGAUCAAGUAGGCAAUCCAGAUCCCCUUGCUCCUUAAAAUUAUGCAUCUUGGAUGUUAUACGAAAAUUUGGGAGGGUGAAAUGCACUUCCUCCUAAUGAAUAUUAGACAGUAGACUAUUCUUUAUUACUUUCUUGUGUGUAUGGGAUUGUUUUUUGCUAGACUUUUCAAUGAAUAUGAACACAAUUUGGUUUUUAUACAGCUUGUCAUGUGGAUUUUUAGCGUAUUGUUUUGUAACUUGCAAUAUUUCAGAUGGAAACACAAAGCAAUUCUGCUUCAGAACUCAAUCAUGAGUAUGAAAUUCAAUUUAACAGUGAAGAUGAUCGUAUAAUUCAAAGUACUGAUGGGAGCACUCGAGUAAAGAAAUGGAGGACUUAUAAAGCAAAGCGAUGGGAAGACGGAACAAGAGGUUGCACUUAAACCGCCAAAAGGAAUACCUUCCCAGCAAUGGAUUGAUCUUCUUGGAUAAAGGAAAGGAGAAAGCAACUGCCAUGAUGGCAGAGAGAAGUAGAAAAAGAAGUAUACAAUGAACUUGUUCCUCCAGAUCGAUAUGGUCGUGUAGUCGGUUAUGGACUUGGAGUUAGUGCAAGGAUGGUACAUGGAACCAAAAAUUAUGCAGGAGUGAUUAAAGAUGCAAAAAUGGAAGAGCUUGUGCAAGCUCGUGUGGAGAAAGAUAGAGUCACAGUUUGAAGAAAAGUUGAAACAGGAAAGGUCAAACAUGGAGAUUCAUUACUUCAGUAUUGGCGGGGCAGGCAUUAAUGGAGGAACGAGAGAUUGUAGAAAAGUAGAAGAUUUUGAUGAUCGGAAGUAUUGAGACAUUAGAAGAAUAAAAUGGCAUUGGCAUUGGCAUUGGCAUUGUUAUGAGAGACAAAAAUGGGAUACAAUUGAUAUCCUUACAGCUGAGGGACGAACUUCACCAAAGGCCGUGUACAGAGAAUGUUUUCCAUCCCCUGCAAUAGUUUCAAGUAACUUGAAAAUGAGUUGAACUGUAAA